rnacentral:rRNA from 1 species
AGAAAAUCCUGCACGGUCACCUACGGAUAAGCACCGGCUAACUCCGUGCCAGCAGCCGCGGUAAUACCUAGGGUGCAAGCGUUACUCGGAAUCACUGGGCGUAACGGGCGCCUAAGCGGAUUAUCAAGGCUCUUGUGACAUCUAAUGGCUUAACCAUUAAACUGCUUGGGAAACUGAUAGUCUAGAGUGAGGGAGAGGCAGAUGGAAUUGGUGGUGUAGGGGUAAAAUCCGUAGAUAUCACCAAGAAUACCCAUUGCGAAGGCGAUCUGCUGGAACUCAACUGACGCUAAGGCGCGAAAGCGUGGGGAGCAAACAGGAUUAGAUACCCUGGUAGUCCACGCCCUACACCAUGUACACUAGUUGUUGGGGUGCUAGUCAUCUCAUCAAUGCAGCUAACGCAUUAAUUGUACCGCCCUGGGGAGUACGGACGCAAUAU